ACUCUCUUUCACGCCAAAUUAAGAGGAGAAGAAAGAGAAAGAUGAUGCUUAACUCCAAAGACCCAAGGAUUCAUGCAAAUUUCUUCUAGCAAAUCACAAACCCAUCAUCUAGUAUCAAGUUGAAGUGUUUUGGGUGUUUGGAGUUGAGGAGGAGGGGUGAAGGAUACUCGGUGGCCGAAAAAGAAGACCGGUCAAUCAUGCUCGUUGAGCAAACACAAGUCUUCUCAACAACGAGCAGACAUGGUCUGCACUUUCAAGAGCAGAGCCAAGGCAGACCAGCCAGUUGUUUGGGGGCCGAUGGGUUGGCCUGGAUCGUACGAGUUGUGGAUUUCGGGAAAUAGUGGACUAAACGCAUAAACGACACGUAUAUUCAUUUAUUUUCUUUUGUGCUUAUUUAGAAAGCUAUCGAGGUGAGUUCCCGUAUUACCUUCGUGUAUUUAUAUUUUAAUAUCAAAUUGUAUGAUUUAUGAAUGUCCUAAUUUCUAAAACAUACUUUCGAAACUACUUUGGGAAUUUCAAUUGAUUUUAAAGGAAUUAUCUAAGUUAUGUAAGACUCCAGAUUUUGGUUUUAAAAGCAAGAACUCAUCAAAGUUUAAAUUGUUGUUUGGUUUGUAUGGAUGUAUGGUUUACUCUGACUUGUACAUUGGUUGUGGUUUGAGAUGCUAGUCAUAUGUGGUGUCUAGUAUUCUUAGAGUUAGGGAUUGUGUGGAUUUUAACUUGUGCCUUGUUUUUAGACUCGUCGACUACUCGUGCUUCAGAGUCUGCGCAAGGUUAGUUUGCUUGCCAGGAUUAUCACAUGACUUCGCAAGAAAUGAGUUUGUAGUUCUAUUUACCGCAGCUACUCGAUAGGCAUUAUCGAGAUUGUGGCUGACAGAAUGUUUGGCUUAUUUUAGGAUUGACAAGGAUUUAUUACCGUCUACUUUGAAUUAUACUUUGAGUUUCAUUUCAAUACUGUUAUUCCAUAAUCUUAUGUAUAUUAGUAUGAAAGGAUUUCAGGUUUUAAAGGUUUUAAACUUAAUAAAUGUAAAUAGUACUAUGAACUCAUCUCAGUAUAUCUGACCCCGUUGGUUUCCCCAUUUUCCAGGUUUAUGAUUUUAAGAGUUUUGGUUGAUCUCCAAACUUUUUGAUUCUUCA